UGGGGAAUUUUGGACAAUGGGCGCAAGCCUGAUCCAGCAAUGCCGCGUGAGUGAAGAAGGCCUUCGGGUUGUAAAGCUCUUUUGUCAGGGAAGAAACGGUGGGGGCUAAUAUCCCUCGCUAAUGACGGUACCUGAAGAAUAAGCACCGGCUAACUACGUGCCAGCAGCCGCGGUAAUACGUAGGGUGCAAGCGUUAAUCGGAAUUACUGGGCGUAAAGCGUGCGCAGGCGGUUUUGUAAGUCUGUCGUGAAAUCCCCGGGCUCAACCUGGGAAUUGCGAUGGAGACUGCAAGGCUAGAAUCUGGCAGAGGGGGGUAGAAUUCCACGUGUAGCAGUGAAAUGCGUAGAGAUGUGGAGGAACACCGAUGGCGAAGGCAGCCCCCUGGGUCAAGAUUGACGCUCAUGCACGAAAGCGUGGGGAGCAAACAGG
rnacentral:rRNA from 1 species